CCUACGGGUGGCAGCAGUCGAGAAUCAUUCACAAUGGGGGAAACCCUGAUGGUGCGACGCCGCGUGGGGGAAUGAAGGUCUUCGGAUUGUAAACCCCUGUCAUGUGGGAGCAAAUUAAAAAGAUAGUACCACAAGAGGAAGAGACGGCUAACUCUGUGCCAUCAGCCGCGGUAAUACAGAGGUCUCAAGCGUUGUUCGGAAUCACUGGGCGUAAAGCGUGCGUAGGCUGUUUCGUAAGUCGUGUGUGAAAGGCGCGGGCUCAACCCGCGGACGGCACAUGAUACUGCGAGACUAGAGUGAUGGAGGGGGAACCGGAAUGCUCGGUGUAGCAGUGAAAUGCGUAGAUAUCGAGAGGAACACUCGUGGCGAAGGCGGGUUCCUGGACAUUAACUGACGCUGAGGCACGAAGGCCAGGGGAGCGAAAGGGAUUAGAUACCCUUGUAGUC
rnacentral:rRNA from 1 species